rnacentral:rRNA from 1 species
AAGCGUUUGCAACCAGACUUGCAUACAGUUGAUCAUCCGAUGUUCUCACCGGUGCACUCAGCUGUAUUCAGGCCAGCAUCAGUUUUAGUGGUUGGAUAAAGACCUUGGGAAUGUAGCUUUUCGGAGUGUUAUAGCCCUUGGUGUAACGCAGCCUACUGAGACUGAGGACCGCGCUUCGGCUAGGAUGCUGGCGUAAUGGUCGUAAACGA